ACGAUGGGAACUUCGGCUUAUGCUUUUUAAUAAUGAUUUCAUUUCAUUCUCAAACAAUGAAAGGCCAUUCUAUAGACAAUUCUCUAUAGCACUUUUUAAUUUGUAACCUUAUUUUUGUUUGUCUAGUUUCUUCACUGGUCUGUGAAAUUUUAGUGCCUGACAUUGGGGUGUUCAAUACAUGUUUGUUGAAAGAAUGCCUGACUAAUUCUGUUAGGUAGGAUACUUAGAUGAGACAACUGGGAUGCAUUUAGAUUAAAUGACAGGAUGAAGAUCCCACAGCGAAUGAAUACAAAAUAAGCUUCUAUAACCUCAAUCCAUUUCCUACCCACCAGCUACUUUCUACAUUGAGUUGUCUCCCUUUUUAUGUUGUCAAUGACUGACAUGAAAGUAUUUGGUUUGGUUGUUAAAAUCAUGAAAAUAAUAGAUUUGAGAUAAAGGUACAAUGCAUUUGACAAGAAUUUAAUUUUGCCUUUUUUGGUAUUGGUUAAUAAUAGCUUUCAACUAAAUACAAAGUUCUGUAAUUUUCUUCUAAAUAUUUAAAGGGAGAAAAACUACUUAGUCUAUGCUUAGAAUGAUGAGAACAAGGGUUACAUUUUUCUAUUUUAGGUGAUUUAUUCCUGAAAAGGAUAUUCAGCUUGGCACUCACUCCUGGAGAGGUGACCCCUUCUCUCAUAAUCUUGGUGUUGGUUUUCGUUUUUGUAAGAGCACUAAGGAACAAUGGAAGAAAGCAGGUGUUUCCUCCUGGCUCAUGUUCCUUUCCCAUCAUAGGAAAUCUUCAGCUUGGAGGCCAUCCUUACCUUACAUUCAUGGAGAUGAGGAAGAAAUACGGAGUUGUCUUUUUCAUCAAACUUGGCGUGAUGCCUGUUCUGGUGGUGAAUGGAAUGGAAAUGGUAAAACAAGUACUACUCAAGGGUGGAGAACAUGUUGCAGGUCGACUUCACAUGCAUACAUUUUCUUUCCUGGCAAAAGGAAAGAGUCUCACAUUUUUGGCCAAUUAUAGAGAGAGUUGUAAACUUUGUAAAAAAAAUUGCCUCUAAUGCUUUAUGAACAUUUUCUCAAGAGGAAACAAAAUCCCCCACCUGUUCUUGCUUUCUUGAGGAACACGUUGUUGAGGAAGUUUCCGAGCUAGUAAAAGUCUUUGCAGAAUUGACUUCCAACAGUUGUAGCUUUGACUGCAGAAGUGCUAUCACAUGGGUGGUGGCCAUCAUUGUCUGUGCCCUUUGCUUUUGCAAGAGAUAUGACCAUAGUGAUGAAGAGUUUCUCAGAAUAGUGAAAAUGAAUGAUGACUUACUCAAAGCCUCCAGCACUGCUAUCCUGCUGAUUUCAUACCAUGUUUCUGUUACCUUCCACUGUGAAUUACAAAUGCUCCCCCAGAGAUUUAUCAGGCCCUGAAUCUGUUUCUUGUACUUACAUGUACAAGAUCUUCUUACAACAUUUGAUAAGGUAGGGAUUUGAACUCAUACUAGGACAAGGCAUUUGGUGAGAAACAAGAAAGAAUAAUGAGAUGUGUUGAGUAUCCAGACAGUUGUAUGUAUUUCUUCCUUGAUUCUUCCACUCUGAUUUUCCAUGAUGAACCUUACCCAAACUAUUAGUAAAUAUGAAACCCAGUCAGAGAGAUUAUAGAAUGGUAUUACUUAGUUCUCAUGUAGGGACCCUAAGAAAAUCUUUGAAUUUUCAGAGCUUAGAAAUUUCCCUAGUAUGUGGAUAAGGCACAUAUUUGAAUUAUGAAUCUAUAAUUGGCUAAUAAAUGUUGCCACCAUGUACAUGAGUUUCUUGAAGAAAUGAGCCAAUUAUUUCAUUUCUCUCAUUCUUAUGUCUGAAAUUAUGAGGUCUUAAAAUUCUCAGCAUUUUUUUUCAUAAAAUUCUUUGAAUAAUUGUAAAGAAUAUUUUAUAGGAAACUUCCAAUUUACCCUUGUAUCCUGCUUGAGUUUCUUUCCUAUGAAGAAAUGAACUUUGGGAUCAUAGCACAUAAAUUAAGAUUCUCUAGGUGACAAAAGUGAACCUUUUUUUAUGCCAUUGAGAUGUUUUUGGCCCAAUUAGAUGGUCCACAGGAGAGUAAAUUUCUCUCUUGAAGUAUGUAUGUGCCGAAAAGAAUCCUAGUUCUUGGGGACCAAUUUGUUAAGAUGAAAGCAUCAGGGGAAAAAAACAUGAAAAAGUGGGUAAUUGAGCAAAGAAAUGUGAGGACUUAAGUCCUCUCCAAUUAAAAGAAGAGGCAGAAAAUAAUCUGUUUCGAUAUACCAGCCUGGAAUUCUAGAUCAGAUAUAGUAAGUAAAAGAGUUUAUAAAGUUCAUAGAUUUUUCUUCCUGCUCCCUAACCUAGUCUAGCCCUACCUCCUUCUGCAAGGUGAUUAUAGUAAAAUUUUUACAAUAGUUUUAAAUACCGCCUUAUUUAUUGCCUAACAAUUUCUCCGUAAUAAGUUAACCUCUGGUUUUCCUAAGUGUGUUUCUAGACAUAGGUAUACUCUUUAUUGAUUGAAAAAAAAUUAAGAAAAUUGAGUUUAGUAACUUGCUUUUCUAUUCCAUCCUCUUUUAAGACUGAGAAUUACCAUUACUAAGCAAAAUUGCUUGUGGGGUAUCACAUGAUCUACGUACCUUCUUUGUAUUCUAAGCUAAUUGGGUUCAUUUCAAGUUACAUGGUAAUAUGGCUCUUCUUGCAUGAGAGUCAAAUAUGGUGCAAAAUGCAGGUAGUGGUGAAUAAUCAUGCAAGGUUUAUAUCCUUAGGACCACAUUCAAGGUAUUACUGAUGCUCUGAUGAAUACAUGCCACAACAAAUAUGCUUCUACCAGAAUAGCCACCUUAAAUGACGAUGAAAUCAUAAGCACCAUGAAUGACCUCUUUAGAGCUGGUUUUGAAACAACCUCAACCUGUCUAUCCUGGAGCUUUCUUUAUUUGAUACACUAUCCAGAAAUUCAAGCCAGAAUUAAAGAGGAAAUUGAAACUAAUUGGAAUGACAUCACCCAGAUCUGAAGACAGUACUACAGCAGACACUACUCUGAAUGCCUCUUUUAUUCCCAGGUAAACAUAUACAUUUAUUAACAUACAUCAAGUAAAUCAUGAUGAGUAAGUCAACAAAAUUAUUUCUUGUGAUAAAAUUUGCUUGUCUGUUUGUUUGCUAUUUACUAAUCUGGGAAAAAUUUAUGUUCUUCUUAACCAAACUUUAUUCCCUCUGUAUCUCUUGAAAGAAGUUGGAAAGAAAUUCAGUUUUCCUUUCUCACUGAUAAUAGGAAGGAUGAAAUUUAAAAAAUUUUUUAUUAUAGUUGGUUUACAUUAUUCUUUCAAUUCCUGCUAUAAAGCAAAGUGAUCCAGCCAUACAUACAUAUAUAUUCUUCUCUUUUUUUCCUAUCAUGUUCUAUCACAAGUGAUAUUCAGCAUAUAUAUACUGAUAUAUACCUGUGCUAUACAGCAGGACCUCAUUGCUUAUCCUUUCUGAAUGUAAUAGUUUGCAUCUAUUAAACCCAAACUCCCAGUCCAUCCCACUCCCUACCAUCUCCUCCUUGGCAACCACAAGUCUACUGUCCCUGUCUAUAAGUAUGUUUCCAUUCUGCAGAUAGGUUAAUCUGUGCCAUACUUUAGAUUCCAUGUAUAAGUUAUAUCAUAUGGUAUCUGUCUUUCUCUUUCUGGCUUACUUCACUUACUAUGAGAAUUGCUAGUUCCAUCCAAUUUGCAGCAAAUUGUAUUAUUUUGUUCUUUUUUAUGGCUGAGUAGUAUUCCAUUGUGUAUAUGUACCACAUCUUCUUAAUCCAUUCAUCCAUUGACGGACAUUUAGGUUUU